UACAGGGGGUGCAAACGUUGCUCGGAAUCAUUGGGCGUAAAGCGCACGUAGGCGGUUCGUUAUGUCGGAUGUGAAAGCCCUUGGCUUAACCGAGGAAGUGCAUCCGAAACUGGCGAGCUAGAGUACGAAAGAGGAUCGCGGAAUUCCCGGUGUAGAGGUGAAAUUCGUAGAUAUCGGGAGGAACACCGGUGGCGAAGGCGGCGAUCUGGGUCGAUACUGACGCUGAGGUGCGAAAGCGUGGGGAGCAAACAGGAUUAGAAACCCUUGG
rnacentral:rRNA from 1 species